AUGUGCCUUGAUUCCAUCCUCAUUCUCCAUAAUCUUGGAUUUCUCGAUUAUGCUAACUCCAAUCUAAACCUGUCAAAAUUGAAAAACUGGUUCCAGCAUUACAAAUGUGUACAUGUUCAGUUUAAAAAACUCAGUAAUACAAAGAGGAAAAACGGAAUUAAAUCAGAAAAAUGGAAGAAAGCCAAAAAUGAAUAA